UAUAGCAAUAUACGCGUGAUAAGGUGCUGCAUGGCUGUCGUCAGCUCGUGCCGUGAGGUGUUGGGUUAAGUCCCGCAACGAGCGCAACCCCCAUCACUAGUUGCCAUCAGGUAACGCUGGGAACUCUAGUGAAACUGCCGUCGUAAGACGUGAGGAAGGAGGGGAUGAUGUCAAGUCAUCAUGGCCUUUAUGCCCAGGGCUACACACGUGCUACAAUGGGGCGUACAAAGAGCAGCAACACAGUGAUGUGAAGCCAAUCUCAAGAAACGUCUCUCAGUUCAGAUUGAAGUCUGCAACUCGACUUCAUGAAGCUGGAAUCGCUAGUAAUCGUAUAUCAGCAAUGAUACGGUGAAUACGUUCCCGGACCUUGCACACACCGCCCGUCAAGCCAUGGAAGCCGGGUGUACCUAAAGUCGGUAACGGUAAGGAGCCGCCUAGGGUAAAACUGGUGACUGGGGCUAAGUCGUAA
rnacentral:rRNA from 1 species